AUUGAACGCUGGCGGCAGGCUUAACACCUGCCAGUCGACCGAGUGGCGGACGGGUGAGUAAUGGGUGGGAAUCUAGCUUAUGGCGGGGGAUACCUACAGGAAACUGUAGCUAAUACCGCAUACCAUUGGCUGAGCCCAAGUGUGAUUAGGUAGUUGGUGAGGGAAAGGCUCACCAAGCCGACGAUCUCUAGCUGGUCUGAGAGGAUGACAAGCCACACUGGGCCGGAGACACGUCCCAGACUCCUACGGGAGGCAGCAGUGGGGAAUAUUGCGCAAUGGGGGGAACUUGACGCAGCCAGGCCGCGUGAAUGACGAAGGCUUUCGUGUUGUAAAGUUCUUUCGGUAGCGAGGCGUGAACUACAGAAGAAGAACUGGCUAACUCCGUGCCAGCCGCCGCGGUAAUAC
rnacentral:rRNA from 1 species